GGUAAAUUUUGCGAUGCAAUUUUUUCCUACUCCUUUGAAAGUGAUUCGUAUGCUUAUUUUUCUUUUAAGCUUCUAGGGGUAAUUUUCUUUUCUCCAAUUGAGUACCUUGUACCAUUUUUUUGUUUCUUGAGAGAGAGAGAGAGAGAGUGGGGUAGGGACAGAGAGAGAGGGAGGGAGACGAUCCUACGCAGGAUCCGCACUGUCAAUGCAGAGCCCGACACGGGGUUCAAACCCACGAACAGUGAGAUCAUGACCUGAGCCGAAACCAAGAGCCAGAUGAUUAACUGACUGAGCCACCCAGGCGCCCCUAAGUUGUGUCAAUUUAUGCUUGCUUUCUUCCUGUUUGGUAAGUUUAAAAUGGGCAUAGGCAAGAAUACAAAAUAAUUAUGUAACAUGCUGGGACCCUGACUCCUUAAUGGUGGAUCUUUAAAUAAAAUAUGUCCUCUGGAGGCGUCUGGGUGGCUCAGUUGGUUAAGUGGCUGACUUUGGCCAGGUCAUAAUCUUCAUGGUUCCUGGGUUCGAGCCCCACAUCGGACUCAUGCUGCCAGUGCAGAGCUUGCUUGGGAUUCUCGCUCUCUGCCCCUCCCCCACUCGCCCUUUUUCUCUCUCUCAGAAUAAAUAAAUAAACUUAAAAAAAAAAAUAUAUGUCCUCUAAAUGAAGUGAGUCAGAACCUGAAGAGCCGGAACACAUCACAGAUGUACAGACCUGGCCAGGGGACCACAACGUGCACCAGGGCCAAGCUCACGUGUGGAUCCUUUUGUUGAGGAACAGGAUGCAGAUGGACACGGGCAGGUUGAGGAGGAGCCUGGUGGCCCCUGUCACCCAGUCCAGGAGAAGCGUACACCUGACCCCUUCCAGGUGAGCAGCUGCCUCCGAUGCGUGCCCCUGCUCCACCGCCACCCAUUCUCGCAAUGUACUCUCGAAGAUCUAGAGGUUUCAGGCCUUAAGGUAGGGCACAGGUAGACGUUAGUUUACGAAGGAUUUGAAAUUCCUCAGAUCACUUAAUUUGGGCAUCUCUUUGCUUGCCCUUGGGGUACCUUUCCAGGGAGCAGCACAGGUACCCUGGGCUGGUGCAAAG
rnacentral:lncRNA from 1 species